rnacentral:rRNA from 1 species
AGAGUUUGAUCCUGGCUCAGGACGAACGCUGGCGGCGUGCCUAAUACAUGCAAGUAGAACGCUGAAGGAGGAGCUUGCUUCUCUGGAUGAGUUGCGAACGGGUGAGUAACGCGUAGGUAACCUGCCUGGUAGCGGGGGAUAACUAUUGGAAACGAUAGCUAAUACCGCAUAAUAUUGAUUAUUGCAUGAUAGUCAAUUAAAAGGUGCAAUUGCAUCACUACCAGAUGGACCUGCGUUGUAUUAGCUAGUUGGUGAGGUAACGGCUCACCAAGGCGACAAUACAUAGCCGACCUGAGAGGGUGAUCGGCCACACUGGGACUGAGACACGGCCCAGACUCCUACGGGAGGCAGCAGUAGGGAAUCUUCGGCAAUGGACGGAAGUCUGACCGAGCAACGCCGCGUGAGUGAAGAAGGUUUUCGGAUCGUAAAGCUCUGUUGUAAGAGAAGAACGAGUGUGAGAGUGGAAAGUUCACACUGUGACGGUAUCUUACCAGAAAGGGACGGCUAACUACGUGCCAGCAGCCGCGGU